rnacentral:lncRNA from 1 species
CCUAAGUUUGUUAAAAUUUGUGUACGUAGUUGGUAGUAUAAGAUGCAAUUUUAUUGGUGGUCCAGGUACAAGUGCUACUUCUGGUAUUGGUAUUAUUGGAGUGGCUGUGGCACCUUUUACCACUUCUGCAUAGGCUCUGUUAUUGUCGCGUUCCUGAAACAAAAUUUAUUUAGGAGGUUUUCAUAACCCCUCCUUAAUUCUACAUCGCACCAAAGUUUAUUAAAAUUUGUAUACGUAGUUGGUAAUAUAAACAUGUAAUUUUAUUGGUGGUUCAGGUUCAGAUGGUAGUUCUGGUAUUGGUAUUAUUGGACUGGCUAUCGCACCUUUUACCAACUCUGCAUAGGUUCUGUUAUUGUCUCUUUCCUGCAACAAAAAAA